GGGUUGUGAGGUUAAGCGACUAAGCGUACACGGUGGAUGCCCUGGCAGUCAGAGGCGAUGAAGGACGUGCUAAUCUGCGAUAAGCGUCGGUAAGGUGAUAUGAACCGUUAUAACCGGCGAUUUCCGAAUGGGGAAACCCAGUGUGAUUCGUCACACUAUCAUUAACUGAAUCCAUAGGUUAAUGAGGCGAACCGGGGGAACUGAAACAUCUAAGUACCCCGAGGAAAAGAAAUCAACCGAGAUUCCCCCAGUAGCGGCGAGCGAACGGGGAGGAGCCCAGAGCCUGAAUCAGUGUGUGUGUUAGUGGAAGCGUCUGGAAAGGCGCGCGAUACAGGGUGACAGCCCCGUACACAAAAAUGCACAUGCUGUGAGCUCGAUGAGUAGGGCGGGACACGUGGUAUCCUGUCUGAAUAUGGGGGGACCAUCCUCCAAGGCUAAAUACUCCUGACUGACCGAUAGUGAACCAGUACCGUGAGGGAAAGGCGAAAAGAACCCCGGCGAGGGGAGUGAAAAAGAACCUGAAACCGUGUACGUACAAGCAGUGGGAGCACGCUUAGGCGUGUGACUGCGUACCUUUUGUAUAAUGGGUCAGCGACUUAUAUUCUGUAGCAAGGUUAACCGAAUAGGGGAGCCGAAGGGAAACCGAGUCUUAACUGGGCGUUAAGUUGCAGGGUAUAGACCCGAAACCCGGUGAUCUAGCCAUGGGCAGGUUGAAGGUUGGGUAACACUAACUGGAGGACCGAACCGACUAAUGUUGAAAAAUUAGCGGAUGA
rnacentral:rRNA from 1 species